rnacentral:ncRNA from 1 species
AAAUAGACAUAGUCCUGAUCUUAUCAUCUUCUAUUACUUAAUUCAUACAUGCAAGCUUCAACAAUCCAGUGAGUAGACCCCUUAUAGUUCUUAAACAGAACCCAAGGAGCAAGCAUUAGGCACGACAUCCUGCCCAAAACGCUUAGUUCAACCACACCCCCAUGGGCUCCAGCAGUAGUAAACAUUUAGCAAUAAACGAAAGUUUGACUGAGUUAGAGUUUUAAGAGCUGGUUAAAUACGUGCCAGCAACCGCGGUUACACGUACAACUCAAGAAGAUGAUUUCACGGCGUAAAGGGUGGUUAGUUUUUCAUUUUAAUGAAGUUAAAUUUAUUUUCUUAAUGUCGUAAUAAGCGUUAAUAUUAGAAAUCCAACCACAAAAGUAAUUUCAGAGCAAAUGACUCCACGAAAACUAAGGUACAAACUGGGAUUAGAUACCCCACUAUGCUUAGAUGUAAACUUUGAUGUUUCUUACAAACACACAUUCGCCAGGCUAAUACGAGCAUUAGCUUAAAACCCAAAGGACCUGACGGUGUCUUAAACCCCUCUAGAGGAGCCUGUUCUAGAACCGAUGAUACACGUUUUACCCAACCUCUUCUUGCAACUCAGCUUGUAUAUUUCCGUCAUCAGUUUACCUCUUGAAGGUUUAGAAGUAUAACAAAAUAAAAAUAAGUCUUAAGUAUGGCAGGUCAAAAUGUAGCUAAUGGAGAGGGAAGUAAUGGGCUACAUUUUCUAAUCAGAAAACACGGAUAAAGAAGUGAAACAUUUUUUUGAAGGAGGAUUUAGUAGUAAGGAGGAAAUAGAGAGUCCUUCUGAACUAGGCCCUGAUACACGCACAAAUUGCCCGUCACCCCCUUUCGCCUUUUCCACAAGAUUCCUAAUCUAACCCUACUGAAAGAAGGGGUAAGUCGUAACAGAGUAAGUGUAGCGGAAGUUGCACUUGGAU